rnacentral:tRNA from 1 species
UCCCGGGUGGCUUAGAUGGUAAAGCAUCUGCCUACAGUGCGGGAGACCUGGGUUCGAUCCCUGCGUUGGGAA